AGUAUGUGACAGUGACAUCAAAUUCCGUUUCCUCCUACUUUUGACUCCAUUUUUUCAUUAAAUUUCCUCAUUUUUCUUCUGACAUCCAAGAUGAAAGUAUAUCGGUGGUUGCGUGAACUGCCACGUGCAGGCAUGCAUAACAAAUUAAAUAAGAAAGGCUUAAUGUGUUUGCCAACCAAUCUAGAAAUUUGUGGAAAAUGGACAAGAUAUGUUUAGCGAACUACAAACAGCCUUUGACAAAGUGAGAGAAGAACAUAAUUAUGAUAAUGACAUAAUGGGGGAUUGCAAUGCAAGAAUUGGAUAUGCCAUCAACAAGUAUUGAGCAGUAUGGGGGAAAUGUUGAGAAUAUAAAUGAUGUAAACUGUUGCUACACAAUCCUGUAGAAUUGUGGGGAAUUGCUGCCUUUUUAGAUCUUCAGUUAUGAUUAGAAUUCUUAAGAUGUAAACUGUUCGUACACAAUCUUGUAGACGUGGGGAAUGGUUGUCUUUGGUUCUCUAAUUAUCAUAGAAUUGUUAAGAUCUAUCCUUCUAUUGCUGAUUCAAUAAGAACUCCAUGAGAUUCAGCUGCUAUAACGAAUGGACAGUUUUAUGGUAGAAGUAUUGUUUAUCUAUCAACUUACAAUGAUAUAGGGCUCCACAUACACACAGGAAUAUAUGAAACUCUACACCAAUAGUUGACAACUAUAAAGUAGAUUCACAUGAUCUAUCCUUCUAUUACUGAUUCAAUAAGAACUCGGUGAGAUUCAACUGCUAUAGGAUUUUAUUGAACAAGAUAUACCCAAUGACAUAGGACUCCACAUACACAGGGGAAUAUGGAACUCUACACCAAAUAGUUUACUACUAUAGUGUAGAUUCACAUGGUACUAUUAUGUAAUGAUAUAUGAGAAAAGAUUGUAACUAAGAUUAUUAACUAUUAAAAAAAGUUAAAGCAAUAAA